GGAAUUACUACAAACAGAAAGAGGGGAGAAGCGACCACAGUGUGGCAAAAUGUAGUUAGAUAAGAUUGUUCUUCCUCCUGCAGAGCCUGCCCCCAGAAACCAUACUGAAGCUGCCUGCCACCCCGCUCAGAUUCAUGGAUGCAUUGUUCUAGUUCUUGGUUGUUGCUGCUGCUAUUGUUUUGUUGGUUGGUUUUCUUUUAGACAGAGUCUCACUAUGUAUCCCUGAUUAACCUGGAACUCACUCUGUAGACCAGGCUGGCCUCCAACUCACAGAUACCCACCUGUCUCUGCCUUCUAGAGGGCUGGGAUUAAAGUCAUGCACCACCAUGCCCAGCAAAAUGCAUCUUUCUAAAUCACUUUUUCUGUGUCACCCUUCCUGGCUUUACAACGUCAGUGAAUAAAUUGAAUGCUGGCCACAGUGGACCUGGUUCCUAUCCAAGUCUCUUCACCCUCCAUGUCGCUGUUUUUCUGGGCCUUCACAAACUGCCAUUCUCUCUACCAUCCUGUGGUUGGUUCAUGCCCCAUUUUAUAAAGUAUCCAUUUAGGUCAUUUUUAUUGUAGGAAAUUUCCCUCUCACCAGCCUUGUAAAGUGCUUUCUACCCCUGUGUUUAGCAUUACUAUAACACAUAUUAGAGUCAUAAAUUCUAUUGUCUACUUAGCUGAGUUCUAAACAGCCAAAGGAAGGUGAACUCUUAAUUUUAUCCAUUCUAUUCAUGAAGCACAGAUUCUGGCACACAGAAACUCAAUAGAUGUUUAAUGAAUGAAUGCUAGCUCUUUCUCUGUGUUUCCCAUGCAUUGGUGUAUGUCUGUAUGAGCGCGUUGAAUUUCCUAGAACUGCCGUUACAGACAGUUGUGACCCACCACGUGGGUGCUGGGAGUUGAACCCAGGUCCUGCAGAACAGCAGCCAGUGCUCUUAACCUCUGAGCCGUCUCUCCAGACCUAGUUCUUUCUCUUUUACAGUUUCUUCCAGGCCCAGCCACCUCAUUCUUCAGGGAGCCUUCUCUGGCCUGCCAACCUCUCAACAGUUCUUUUCAGUACUUCGCUGAAGUAGUCAUUGACCUAUUUUUGUGCUUGCCCAUUGCCUUAGAGUAGGGAUUCAGUAAGUGCUUACACUGUCAAUUAUUAUGAAUGAGGACAUGAAGUGUCUCUUGUGUGUCUCUUCCAAGAAACCCUGCCAGAUAUGGGCACAUUUCCCAUGGAAAAGCUUUGUCCAGAACAUAAUAUCCUGUAAGGAACUAGAUACUUCGUUCAACCACUAAAAGAAAUGUAUUUUAUAAUGAUGGUCUUUAUAUGCUUUGCAGUUUGUUGAACUGAGAGUUAUGGUCUAAGUUUCUGCUUUCAUUAAUAGUUAAUAAUUUCAUAGAUUUUUGACACUAGGAGUACUCAGACUAGAAUCAGUAAUUUCUUAUUUGUAGUAGGAGAUAUGUCUGUGACAUUUUCCGUAGGACAGCCAAACUAAAUCCUUAGACUAAGUGACUAAUUCUUUCAGAUUUUUGGAAAUGCUUGUGUAUAUACACUUAUGAAUAGACAUAUAUGUGUAUAUAAUAUGCCAACUAUACUUGAAUGUGGUUUUAUAACAUUUCUUCUGUUUUCAUGUUAUAGUUUUUUAAUUAUGAUUUUCAGAAUGCACAUACAUUUCAGUAACAAUUUUGAUAUGAUACUUGCUAUAGAAAUUACACUACUUGAAAACAUCUACAUGCAAGUAGCACUAUACAGCCUGAGCAGGUGUAUUUAUGUAUUUGGGAAUAUAUAUGUAUGAUAUAUACAUAUACACACAUGUGUAUAUAAUAACAAUUAAUGAAAAAAGGCCAUGCAUUUUAAAGAGAGCAAAGAAGGGUAUAUGACAGGAUUUGGAGGGGGGGAAAUGAUGUAAUUAUAUUAUAACUUCAAAGAAUAAAGAAAGUAAAAAGAAGAGGCAAAUAGGUGAAGAAUCCAAAAGAUAAUUUUAAAAUCUUGUUUUCUGUGUCUCAGAAAUCUUGUUAUUUUUUGCAACAGAACAUAGCCAUUCCUCUGGGUUUGUUUGUUUCUUUUUCUUCUUUUUAUGGAGUAGGAGGCCUUCUGUCUAUAUGUUAUUUUCAUUGGUCAAAUGAAGAAACUUCCUUGGCCUUUUGAUAGGACAGCAGCUUAGAUAGGUGGAGUAGACCAAACAGAAUGAUGGGAGAAAGAAAGCAGAGUCAGGCAGACGCCAUGGCUCCCCUCUCCGAGACAGAAGCUGGUUAGAUCCAUGCUGGUAAGCCACAGUCAAGUGGCGAUACAGAUUAUUAGAAAAGGGUUGAAUCAGUAUGUGAGAGUUAGCCAAUAAGGGGCUAGAACUAAUGGGUCAGGCAGUGUUUAAAUGAAUACAGUUUCUGUGUAAUUAUUUCGGAUGUAAGCUAGCUAGCCAGGCGGCUGAGAGCCGGGCUGCAGGAAGUGGUGGGCUGCAGGAAGCGGCCCACUGCUCCUUUUACAACAUUUUUACUCAAAACUAGUUUCUGCAGUAAUUCAGUCUGCUGCUGCUGACACUAGGUGCUAAACACCACAAGAAGCAGUUCCUUGUAAAUGUGCAUUUAUCUUAUUUUCUCUUCAUUUAUAAAUACCCCAAGGGUAAGUCCCAACUCUCAUUCAUCUCUCUAUUCCUGGCUGAGUGUUUCAUGAAGUAUGGUUUGGGAGUAGUGUGCUUCAGAGUUUUAUAGAUGUACCAGAUGGCUCCAGAUCUCAGGAUCUCUAAGCUUGGGAUGGAAGCCUUUGUACUUUCUGUGACAAAGUGGCUCUGGUUAGCAUGGUUGUGAUGUGAUUCUUCUGCACUUUAAAGCUUGCGAGGCACUACUCCUGAGAGUGAUGGAACCUGGGUGUGGUCGUGUCUCAGCAUCACCUGAUGAGAAUGAGGAGCAUGGGCCCUCACUAAACUGAAAUAUGGGAGCUUCCUGAUGCUGGGUUAAGUGGCUGCUAGGCUUCCCAGGUGACUUUGAUCACUACUUCACUGUUCUCUAACUUUGCCUUCCCAGGCUGUUAAAAACUUGUGGUACUAGUCCUCAUUCUCUGGGAUUUGGAUUACAUAGGGGUGGUGCUCAUGCAUUAUGCUGUUUUGAAAGCACACAGGUUGGGCCUAGAAAAAUGGUUCAGCAGUUAAGAUUACUUGCUGUUCUUCUAGAUGGACUUGGUAGCUCAAACCUGUCUGUAGUUUCAGUUCCAGGGUAUCUAAUCCCCUCUUCUGGCCUCUGUGGGCACUACAUGGCAUGUUCAUGGUGCACAUACAUACAUGCAGGGAAAACACUCAUACAUAUAAAAUAAAUAAUUUUUUUAAAAAAGUAUUCAGGUGAUUCGAAUGAAUGUAUGUCAGAUUUGCCAUACAUUCACAGAUCUCAAUGUUCUUACAUUGUGGAAUAUUAUUUUAAGAUGUGUUACUAUUGUUUAUGUGGUGGAACAUUUGUUUUAAUGGUGCAAAGUUGUGCAGCAUUCUUUUUUGUUGCCUUUGUGUGACUCUGUGAAACUGUGUUACUUUGCAUGUCUAAAACAACGGAGUGGUCUAAUAAAGAGUUGAACCUCUGAUAGCUGGGAAGAGAAAGAAUAGGCAGGGCUGGCAGGUAGAGAGUAUAAAUAGAAGGAGAAAUCUGGGGAGAUAAAGGGAGGAGUGAGAAAAUAAGGGGUCAGCCACACAGUCAGAUACAGAGUAAGAAGGAAAGAAAAGAUGUACAGAAAUAGAGAAAGGUAAAAGCCCAGAGGCAAAAGGUAGACGGGAUAAUUUAAGAAAAGCUGGUUAGAAAUGAGCCAAGCAAAGGCUGGGCAUUCAUAAGUAAGAAGAAGAAGCCUCUGUGUGAUUUGUUUAGGAGCUGGAUGGUGGAUCCCCCAAAGAACCAAAGAGUAAAAUGAGUAAAUACAACAACAUUCUUAUUUAGGGCACCUGUCUGUGCUCAUCCUUGAGUUUCUUAUCCCAUGUGACCAUGCCAUGCAAAACAAGUGAAUAGUGUCCUCAGUAAUGAUGGCAAGUGUGCCAAGCUGGUUUGUAGCUGGUGUCUUUAAAUGUCCAUAUAGGUUACUGUAUGUAGGCUGGCAUUCCUUUCCUAGACAAUUAUCUGUUUGUGGCAUUCACCUUUGAAAAACACAGGAACAGGAGAAGUGAGCUAUUCAAUUUUGGGCACAGAGAAAUCUACUAGAUUGACUUUAAGUGGCCCUGCAUGAAUGGAGGUACCCUGAGACAUUCUUCAGAAUGUGAUGAUAUCAGUGCCUAUUAGAAUGUUUUUGUGAAUGAAGUCACUGCCAUAAACCAAUGCAUUCAUGAGCCAGCCCCAAGGUAUUCACUGAGCACAAGACAAGUUAUGCAGUAACAAACUCCAUCCACUGUGCUCCAGGAAUCAGAAUGGAACACAGACACUUGUCUCAGAUGAAUAGCUUGUGGUUCAUUUCAGAGGAGUGCUUCCUACAGCUGGAAACACCUGGAGAGUUCUCACAUUGUGGGUUCCCAGGCCCCACCUGGACUGAAUAGGAAUCCGGGGCGGAGGCGACUGGAACUCUAGUAAACUAUCCCCAAUCUUGUCAGUAGACUUGUGACUUGUCUUGCCGGCUUCUUUGACUUUCCUGCCCUGCCACUCUUUCCUUUUGAUCGCGUUUGCCUAUCAGUGUUGGGAGAUACAAGGAAUCAAAUGUGCUGCAAAUAAGGGCGGGCAUGCUAGGCUGAAGUGUUGCUCAAAAUGCACUUGGAGGUUCUUGGGGCUGAGGGAGAAAGAAGUUCUGAAAAGGCAGUGUGUAGUCUCAGGGGAAUGGCGGAGACUGUUCAUUCCAGGAGUAAUUAUUGAAGAUGCUGACAGCCGAGACUCAGUGAGGAAAAGACCCAUUUCUUCUUCUCAUUGGGGCUCCCGAGUUAGUGGUGGAUUGGGAAUUCUGCAAGGACCUUGGGAUAAGUGCAUGCUCGAGGGUGUGAGCGAGGAGUGGGUGUAGGGGGCAAAGGAGGGCUUUUCUGUGGCCAGGUCGUGAGUGGAGGGGCUUGGUUAAGAAGGUGACAGAGGAGCAUACAUGCAGGAGUGGAGCCGUGGGAAGCCCAGUGGUGUGGCCGAGGAAAACAGAGCAUUUGCUUUGGUUGUCUCAGAGGACUCUUUGUGAAGAACGUGGGAAAUGAAGCCAGAGGAGGAGUCAGAAGCACAAACAGGACCUUGUGUUCUGCAAUGGGGCAACGUGGAACAACCCUGAGCAGGGGCGUGUCAUGAUUAGGUCUGUGCAACUCUCUGAUAAUUAGAGGAGGGAGCAGACAUAAACAAGUCAGCCAGAGUUUACUGGCUUUGAAGGGAACUGAAGAAACGCCAAGUAGACCGUGGGCACAGAUGUCAGGGUAAUCAUUUCCUAUACUCUGUGGAGGGUUACCAGGUUAUAUCAAACCCAGUCAUGUCAACGCACUCCUAUAUUGAGUGAAUAAGCCUUGAUGAUGGGCCAGACUCUGAUUGAGUGGCAGGUAGCUGGGGCUUCACAAGUACGCCAGCUUCCUGCAAUGCUAUGUGAGAGCCUCCGGAACCUGCUCUAGUCAAGGGACUGGAGAUGUGCUGCUACACUUGAACCGACAACAUGUCUCGAGCUCUAACUUUCAGCAGCAGCUGUCGCGGAGUUUUGCGUUAUUACAUUUCGUCAUUACUCUAAACUUGUCUCUUAUCUAGACCAAAUUACACAGGAAUUCAGCCCCGAAACUAGACAGCUUUUCAAAUACACUAUGCUUCAAAAUUGUUGACAAUAUUUUGCGUAGCUAAAGCUCAUUCAUAUUGACAUCACAUGAGGACUUCCGAUGAGGGCAUCUUAUAAAGGGAGCAAGUGACAGGCACUCUGGAAAUAGCUUGUUGACACCUAAUGAGGCGAUGGAGCUAUUUAUCUUUACAGAGGGCCAGGAAGUAAGGCUAAAGUGGAAUGGAUAUUUCCAGCAGACCCACACCAGAAACUAAUGCUCUUAGUUCUCACAUCUCUGAAGGGCCUCCACAAGAUGACUUUUGCCUGAGUUGUCCAAGCCAAUGACAAUGAUAGUCACAUUCCUGGAAGAGGACAAGAAAAAUUAGUCAAAGCCACGAACCUCUUGAUGCUUACACUGAAGAAUUCUAUUUGUUUUGAAGUGUUUCUCAGUGUUUGAAGCAUUGCUUGCAAUAGACUCAACUCAUGUAUCAUAAAAAGCCCUACCACAGUGGCGGGAGUGGUGUGGCAACCCCUCCCAAAUCCUCCAGAGAUACUUUCCCUCCCUGACACCUUCUGUUUAUAGGAUGGUCAUCCUCUCUCAGCUCUGUUCCAAAUCUUGCAUUCUCUGUCUAGUUACUUCGCAAAUGAGUCAUGGUCAUUUGUCCCUUGUGAAACUUUAGGCAGAUAUGUGGGAAGUAAUUCCAAAUUGGGUGUAGAAAAGUAGCUGUAAAGUUACCUUUGCUUUGCUUCUGUGGUCUUUUGACGAGACCAGCAGGCAGUCAAAAGUCGGAACAUGAUUCAGCUUGGAUCUUAAAUAUUAAAGGACAAAAAUAAAUGACAAAUCACAUCAAUUGUGAAUUAGGUCAGUUUGUCAUACAGAUGCUGGUAAACAGAAAGUCUGUGACUGUUAGAAUUCCAUUGCAUCAUCCAACCCAGCCUAACUUGUAAAUGCUAUGGAGGAGAAACUGGCUAUCCUAAGCUCCAAUGAGAACGUCGUGGUAAUAUGUAACUUCCUACAAAAUACAGUGACUUGUCACUAAAGCAACCCAACACACAGAAGCAAAUGGACCCGAUCCCUUUAGCUAUGGCUUGUUACUACUAGGAAUGUCUUAUUCAGUCUUGGGAAAAGGUGUGGUGAUGCAUUGGAGAAAAACCAGCUUAGUUUAAAGAACCAUUGGAAGACCUGUUGUAAGCAGCUUCUCUAUUGGGCUUGGUUCUGUUAUUGCCUCAGCUUCAAAGGUUGAGGUGUUGGUAACCCAUUUUUUCAUAGAUUUUAUCCAGUUCCUAGGAUCUGUACGUGACCUCAGACAUGACCUAGAAAAGACUAAUAGAUAUUAAACAGCAAUCCAGGUACCUCACUGUCAAAGAUUCCAAGGGAGUUAAAUAUGUUUCUCAAGUAAAUUUAGCAUGCAGGCUGAUUAAUGAGUGAUUGCCUAAGUAAAAGUUAAUUUAGGUAGCUGCUUCAAGGUUCCAUGUUGUAGCAUGUGUGAAUACUUAAAGUUUUGAGAUAGGUCUUACUUUGUUUCUCUGGUUGACCUGGAACUUGCUACAUAGAUCAGGAUAGCCUUGAACUCACAAAGAUCGGCCUGCCUAUGCCUAUGUUUGGAUUAAAGGCAUGCACCACAGCCCCUGGCUUCAUUUCUUUUUAUGGCUGAAAAAUUGCAGGUCUGUCACAUUUUAGUCAUUCACUAAUCUGCUGAUGGACAUUUGGAUUCGUGCUACUUAUCAGCUUCUAGGUAACACUGCAAUAAACGCACGCACGUGAGUGUAAAUGUAUGGAUAGGUGUUCAUUUCUUUUGGGCAUAUUCCUAGGAGUAAUUUCUGUGUUAUACACUGCAUCUGUGUUGGAGCAUUCAGAGAAACUGCUGGAUUGUUUUUGCAAGGUGGCCAUAACAUUUCACACUAACACCAGGAAAUGCUAGAGAGUUCUAUUUCCUCCACACGUGCAACAAAGCUUAUUGCUGCCUUGGUGUUUGUAGCUAUUCUAGCAGGCAUGAAAUGAGAUCUCAUUAUGAGUUUGACUUACAUUUCUCUAAUAGUUCAUUUUGUUGCUGCCCAGCAUUGCAGGAAGAACGAGUGGGGUUACAGAAAGAUGUCGUUUUGUACCUCUACGGGCCUUGCCCGGCUGUGUGUAUGCCAGCUACUAAUGGGUGAUUAGCACUGUUGUGCACAGUCAUCCAGUCAUUCACCCCCUGUUUUGGAGCAUUGUUAUUUUCAGAGACUCGCAUUUUGUCGCUUACCUUAGAGCACAGCUCACUGUUUAGAAAAUUGGCUUCCCUAAAGAUCUACUGGAGAAUGCCUUGCAUCAGAUAGAAACAAAACCCGUAUAUAUGGCCUGUGAUCAAAACCAACCUUACUCUAGUUUUGCUCGUGAAGCUAAUAAGACCUAGAGCCUGAAAGGAAAGAGCCCAGCUGUCUUGAUUCUAUGAUGGCUAUGUCCCUUUGAGACAAGGCUGGAAAUAUCUUCAUGUCAAUUUCUUUUUUUAAUACAUUUAUUAGUGUAUAUUAAUUGUACAAAAUAGUGAAUUACAUCAGUAUACGUUAGAACAUGUAAAUAACAUACUUUGAUUAUUCUCACCCACCAUGACCCUUUCAUCUCUUCCCCUCACCUUUCCCACUAGUGUCCCCUCUACUUUUGUAUAAUAAAGCAAUCUAGAUGCUAUUCAUAUAUCUUAAGUAGUUACAGAGCUUCUUAGCUUUGGUCUUAGUCUCUGUUUGUCCAAAUUGGCACCGUACAAGUUCUUCCUUUCAGAGGUAAUAAGGGUAGGUGGGAUGACUACAAUUCAAAUGUAGGCAGUCUACUUUCAGAGUAUUGAAUCCAACAGGCUGUGUGUGAGAGACCUGAGCUAUCAGACGAUUACGGAUACUGUUAUGUCCAGCGCCUCCACUAGAUAGCCUGGAGUGGACUCACUUAAAGGGUUCUUCGUGGAAGAGACUGUGGGAAGAUUGGAGGAGCCAGAGACAGUGAAUGACCACAAGGAAACAACCUUUUCCAAACACAAUAGAGCAGUUGCAUAUAUGAACUCACAACAAUUUUGACAGCAUUGCACAGACCUGUGAAAUCUCAGGUCAGAAAAAAUCCUAGCACGGAGUGGAAGAGGUGGACUUGUUCACUGUAAGAAGAAUCUUCCAAUGAUCAAAAUAGAUGGUAUUAAAUGAUCAAAGUAUCGAUUUAAAAUAAUAUAAAGAACUGUCCUCUAGUAGUAACUCAUGUAUUUUGAACAGUUGAUGGUACUGUUUGGGGAGGUUAUGGAACCUUUAGGAGGUGGAGCCUUCCUGGGGGAGGUAUUACUGGGCACAGACUUUGAAGGCGUAUAGCCGUAUCUUACUUACUGUUCCCUUUCUGCUUUGUGUGCAUGGAAGAAUAUGUGAUCUCCCUUCUCUCUGCUCCUGCAGUCAUGCCAUGCAUUCCCUAUUUGCGGAGUCUCCCUCUGGAACCGUUAGCUAAAAUAAACCUUUGCUUCUUUAAGUUGCUUUCAGCUAUGGCAUUUUAUCACAGCAACAGAAAAUUGAUACGGUCUUUUGAUACCAGUGGUCCUAGCAAAUGGCAGCUGUUGUAAUCAUUUGAUUCUAGCAGCAGUUAGUGGUAUUAGACAGUAGCAAGCAGCAGCAGCAGUAGUAGCUGGUACUUUUAGGUUAUAGCUUUUAUACAGGCUUCAGGUGCUAGGCUCCUGGGUCUUACAGCGACAAGUGUUACAGCUCUUAGACCUAGAAUAUCAGAGUCUUCAAGUCAUUGACAGCUUCAAGUUUUACAGCUCUCCAUAGCGCUUAUCUUCUCUGUUGCUUAGUUUCCCAUUAUUUCUACUCUAGGCAUGGUCUUCAGCUCUUCAUCUGCCAGGUGCUUUCUGCUUCUGCUGUGUUUACUGCUGCUAGCAGGGCAGUGGCUUUUGCCACCUUCACUGCUGUUGCUGCCUUCCUUCCUUCGUGUCUCCAACACAGUCCAGUAUGUUAAUAAUAAAGGUCAAAGGGAGAUU